rnacentral:rRNA from 1 species
UACAGAGGUCUCAAGCGUUGUUCGGAUUCAUUGGGCGUAAAGGGUGCGUAGGUGGCGCUGUAAGUCGGGUGUGAAAUCUCGGGGCUUAACUCCGAAACUGCAUUCGAUACUGCCGUGCUUUGAGGACUGGAGAGGAGACUGGAAUUUACGGUGUAGCGGUGAAAUGCGUAGAUAUCGUAAGGAAGACCAGUGGCGAAGGCGGGGUCUCUGGACAGUUCCUGACGCUGAGGCACGAAGGCCAGGGGAGCAAACGGG